CCUACGGGAGGCAGCAGUAAGGAAUAUUGGUCAAUGGAGGCAACUCUGAACCAGCCAUGCCGCGUGCAGGAAGAAGGCCCUAUGGGUCGUAAACUGCUUUUGUACCAGAGAAAACCCGAGUACGUGUACUCGGUUGAUAGUAUGGUAAGAAUAAGCAUCGGCUAACUUCGUGCCAGCAGCCGCGGUAAGACGAAGGAUGCAAGCGUUAUCCGGAUUCAUUGGGUUUAAAGGGUGCGUAGGCGGACUGAUAAGUCAGUGGUGAAAUCUCUCGGCUUAACCGAGAAACUGCCAUUGAUACUGUUAGUCUAGAGUAUAGAUGACGUCGGCGGAAUAUGACAUGUAGCGGUGAAAUACUUAGAUAUGUCAUAGAACACCGAUUGCGAAGGCAGCUAACGAAACUAUAACUGACGCUGAGGCACGAAAGUGCGGGGAUCAAACAGGAUUAGAUACCCUGGUAGUCCGCACCGUAAACGAUGAUUACUCGUUGUUGGCAAUAUGACCGUCAGCGACCAAGCGAAAGCGAUAAGUAAUCCACCUGGGGAGUACGCCGGCAACGGUGAAACUCAAAUGAAAUUGACGGCUGAGACGNGCGAGGACGACGACGAGGGAGGAGG
rnacentral:rRNA from 1 species